rnacentral:rRNA from 3 species
AAAUUGAAGAGUUUGAUCAUGGCUCAGAUUGAACGCUGGCGGCAGGCCUAACACAUGCAAGUCGAACGGUAACAGGAAACAGCUUGCUGUUUCGCUGACGAGUGGCGGACGGGUGAGUAAUGUCUGGGAAACUGCCUGAUGGAGGGGGAUAACUACUGGAAACGGUAGCUAAUACCGCAUAACGUCGCAAGACCAAAGAGGGGGACCUUCGGGCCUCUUGCCAUCGGAUGUGCCCAGAUGGGAUUAGC